AUUCAACAUAUAUUCCAAAGGUCGGCCGAAGAAACCUUACCGAACACGAAGCCCAAUAGGGGGCAUAAUGCCAUAAAGGACAUGAAAAAUAUCCAAAGGUCAACCGGUUCGAAAGAUCUUUGCUAUAAUUUCUAAACCUAGAUAUUAAAAUUUAAAAUUGAUCCUAACUUCAUUCUCACUCUCUGAAUACUAAUAAAAAAAAUUCUAAUCACUAAAUCCUAAACAAAAAUUAAAUCUUAAACUCAAACAUAAUUCAUAAACUCAAAUAUUAAAAUCUAAAGUUGACCCUAACUUCACUACCACUCUCUAAAUACUAAACCAUAAACUAUAAUCACUAAA
rnacentral:lncRNA from 1 species